AUCACUGAGCUGACCAGUCUUUCCUUGAUUUCUUUGCCGCUUUAUUCACACUCUUCCCAGUACACGUCAUCACGUGUUUUACGUCAUCACGUAUGUAUGGAAAUUUCUGUGCUACCUGAAGUACACACACAGUUACGUAACUCUCGCGGGUAUAAGGAAAUGUUAAAGCGUGUUUUGACGAUGAGAAGUGUAUAGUUAAUGGCCGUCGGUGUAUGUGAAGUUGCAUGCUGGAUAUAUUAAAACCGUGUUCUUGGGAACCUACAGAUUUAUUUGUUUGAUGUCAGCAAAACAUCACAUGAUGUCAGAAGUGACGCGACUACAAGAACGCGAUUAAGAUGUCAAAGUUUAGUCCACCGGAGGAAUUCAAAUUCACGAGCCCAGGAGAAUGGCCGGAGUGGAAACAGAGAUUUUCGUGCUUUUUGGCGGCGACGAAGCUGAAUAAGGAGGACGGCGAGGUCCAGGUCAUUUCGCUCAUUUACACCAUGGGACGUGAAGCGGAGAAAAUAUUCAGCUCCUUCGAGUUUGAGGAAGAGGGACACAAAAAAGACUACGACGUCGUGCUAAGGAAGUUUGACGAUUACUUCAUUCCAAGACGGAACUUAAUACACGAAUGAGCCUGCUUUUAUCAGCGAAGUCAGCUGGCCGGGGAAAAGGCAGAAGCAUACAUCAGAGUUUUAUUCGAUUUGGCGGAGAACUGUGAGUUCGGCGACAAGCGAGACGAACACAUCCGGGAUAAACUAGUUGUUGGCAUUCGAGAUAAAGAAUUAUCUCAGAAGUUUCAGCUGACGGCAGACCUGACGCUAUCACAAGUCAUCCAGCAGGUGCGACAAGCUGAGGAGGUGGCAAUACAAAUUGGCCUCCAGUCCCAGCUACCGGACAUACAAGUGGCUCAUGUUGACGGCAGUCGGAGGGGGACGCAGCAAAAGGCACAGAAAAGAACACAAGGUGGCGCCACAGACCAGAAAAGGGACAAGAGCUGUGGCAGGUGUGGCACUCAGCAUCAGGAAAAAGGAAAAUGUCCUGCUUACAUAAGUACAUGUAGAAAGUGCAACAAAAUAGGACAUUGGGCACGACUGUGUCAUACGAAAGAAGUGAAUGAAGUCACUGAGAACACGGGACAGUUCCAGUUUUUGGGUGAGGUCAUCAAGGAGGCCAACUCAGACAAUUGGACUGUUACACUUGAAAUAGAGAAGAUGCCACUUUCAUUUAAAAUGGAUACAGGGGCUGAUGUGACUGUUAUAAAUGAGGUUACUUUCGUGAAGCUCCCCACAUCCCUGAAAUUAAAUAA